rnacentral:rRNA from 1 species
GACGAACGCUGGCGGCGUGCUUAACACAUGCAAGUCGAACGGAAAGGCCCUGCUUUUGUGGGGUGCUCGAGUGGCGAACGGGUGAGUAACACGUGAGUAACCUGCCCUUGACUUUGGGAUAACUUCAGGAAACUGGGGCUAAUACCGGAUAGGAGCUCCUGCUGCAUGGUGGGGGUUGGAAAGUUUCGGCGGUUGGGGAUGGACUCGCGGCUUAUCAGCUUGUUGGUGGGGUAGUGGCUUACCAAGGCUUUGACGGGUAGCCUGCGUGAGAGGGUGACCGGCCACAUUGGGACUGAGAUACGGCCCAGACUCCUACGGGAGGCAGCAGUGGGGAAUAUUGCACAAUGGGCGGAAGCCUGAUGCAGCAACGCCGCGUGCGGGAUGACGGCCUUCGGGUUGUAAACCGCUUUCGCCUGUGACGAAGCGUGAGUGACGGUAAUGGGUAAAGAAGCACCGGCUAACUACGUG